UCCUUAAGGUCAGUAGAUCAAAAAAACUCGUUACUGGUAAGAAUUGAAUUUACCUUAGGAAGAAAGGUUGGUUUACUUUUCUUUAAAAAAAAAAUCAAACAUGUACAAUUCAGUCAAAAUUAGUUUUACUUUUUCCUUGAAAUAGGGUAGUAGUUGUAAUUCAAUUCCUUCAUGUUAAGGAUUUUUUGGAUAUACUAAUCAUAGCAGCUUUA